CCGCCGCCGCCGCCGCCGCUGUUUAUUACAUCUCAGCCCCAGAGAGCCAGAGCCAGAGGAGCUGCUGCUGCUGCUGCUGCUACCCUUUCUUCCCAGACCUGCACCACGCACAAGUGCCUCCUCUCUAUUUACUUCCCCCAACUUUCCAGUGGUCUUUGUCUCCUUUACCGGGGUUGAUGAGAGAGCUUUCAGCAGACUGGACUUCUUGCUGGGAAGCAGCAGUGAAAUGACAGCUUUAAUUUCACCAGAACAAUUCACAGAUAUCAAGCCACAUAGGAAAAAGAGAACAUAAAAUGGAGGAGAGAGAAGAUAACAUAAAAUGGAGGAGAGGACAAAAAUCUGAACAUAGAAUUACAGAGGAAAAGAGAUCAUACCUAUAAAAUAAAGGAUACCUACUUAAAGAAGGUAAAUACUCAGAGGAAGAAGCAGCCUGGAAAAUUUCAUUCUUUUGAAGAAUCAAAGUAAUUUCUGAACUGGAACAAUACCAGAAAGUGUUUUAAAGCAGAAAGGUAUAUUUUUUUCCUCCCUUAUUUUACCUAAAAAUGUUAAAUCUAUUUAAAACAAAUUUGGCUAAAAACAAGAUUCCAGGAUAAGAAUGUGUAUGUUCAGCAAAAACCCAGAAAGAGCAUGUAUACCUACAUGACUUAAAUCCUAUUUAAAAAUAUUAAUGAACAUAAAGUGUGAUCCACUUGUCUGUGUUAGGAGGCACAAUUAUAAUAUACAGUAUUAACUUGUGUAAUAGUGGCUCUGUUUCUGUGAGUUUCAACAUUACUUGAAAAUCCUGUCAAUAAAGUG